UAGGGAAUCUUCCACAAUGGACGCAAGUCUGAUGGAGCAACGCCGCGUGAGUGAAGAAGGCUUUCGGGUCGUAAAACUCUGUUAUUGAAGAAGGACGUGCGUGACAGUAACUGGUCAUGCAGUGACGGUAUUCAAUCAGAAAGUCACGGCUAACUACGUGCCAGCAGCCGCGGUAAUACGUAGGUGGCAAGCGUUGUCCGGAUUUAUUGGGCGUAAAGCGAGUGCAGGCGGUCUUUUAAGUCUGAUGUGAAAGCCUUCGGCUUAACCGAAGAGGGGCAUCGGAAACUGGGAGACUUGAGUGCAGAAGAGGAGAGUGGAACUCCAUGUGUAGCGGUGAAAUGCGUAGAUAUAUGGAAGAACACCAGUGGCGAAGGCGGCUCUCUGGUCUGUAACUGACGCUGAGGCUCGAAAGCGUGGGUAGCAAAACA
rnacentral:rRNA from 1 species